rnacentral:rRNA from 1 species
CGGCGGACGGUGAUAAUGUCUGGAACUGCUUAUGAGGAUACUACUGAACGGUAGCUACACCGCNUACGUCGCAGACAAAGAGGGGGACUUCGGGCUCUGCCAUCAGAUGUGCCCAGAUGGGAUUACUAGUAGGUGGGGUAACGGCUCACCUAGGAAUCCCUAGCUGGUCUGAGAGGAUGACCAGCCACACUGGAACUGAGAACACGGUCCAAACUCCUACGGGAGGCAGCAGUGGGGAAUAUUGCACAAUGGGCGCAAGCCUGAUGCAGCCAUGCCGGUGUAUGAAAAAGGCCUUCGGGUUGUAAAGUACUUUCAGCGGGGAGGAAGGUGUGUGGUUAUAACCACAGCAAUUGACGUUACCCGCAAAGAACACCGGUAACUCCGUGCCACACCGCGGUAAUACGGAGGGGUGCAAGCGUUAAUCGGAAUUACUGGGCGUAAAGCGCACGCAGGCGGUCUGUCCAAGUCGGAUGUGAAAUCCCCGGGCUCAACCUGGGAACUGGAUUCGAAAACUGGCAGGCUAAGUCUUGUAAGGGGGGUCAAAAUCCAGGUGUACCGGUGAACUGCGUAAGAUCUGGAGGAAUACCCGGUGGCAAAAGG